rnacentral:rRNA from 1 species
AUUGAACGCUGGCGGCAUGCCUUACACAUGCAAGUCGAACGGUAACAGGUUAAGCUGACGAGUGGCGAACGGGUGAGUAAUAUAUCGGAACGUGCCCAGUCGUGGGGGAUAACGUAGCGAAAGCUACGCUAAUACCGCAUACGAUCUACGGAUGAAAGCGGGGGAUCGCAAGACCUCGCGCGAUUGGAGCGGCCGAUAUCAGAUUAGGUUGUUGAUGAGGUAAAAGCUCACCAAGCCUGCGAUCUGUAGCUGGUCUGAGAGGACGACCAGCCACACUGGAACUGAGACACGGGCCAGACUCCUACGGGAGGCAGCAGUGGGGAAUUUUGGACAAUGGACGCAAGUCUGAUCCAGCAAUGCCGCGUGCAGGACGAAGGCCUUCGGGUUGUAAACUGCUUUUGUACGGAACGAAACGGUGAGCUCUAAUACAGUUUGCUAAUGACGGUACCGUAAGAAUAAGCACCGGCUAACUACGUGCCAGCAGCCGCCGUAA